ACUCUCGAAAUAAGAAUUUAAUUUUUAGCCUUUUCUUCUUCUCUUUCUUUUUUUUUUUCUUUCUCUUCUUCUUCUUUCUUACAUUCUCUUCCUCUCAGCCAAGGAUCUCAGUCUCACCGCCUCCGAUCAAUCUUCCUCUCUUAGUCCCGACGCCAUCUUCUCUCUUUCCAUCUCAGAUUUGAUAUCCUUCUCCAACGUGAAUCGAUCAUUCACCAAGCGAUGAUGAGUCUUAGGGUUUUAUUCCUCGCUCUCCUUCUCCUUGAAUCUCCUUUGCUUUCGUUAUGCUCUCUCUCUCCUUUUCCGUGAAUUCAAUAGAUAUAGAUCAGUUUGUUUAUAGUGGAUUUUGUAGAUCUAGUUCUACUGACGGCGGAUGUGGCGGUUGGGUAAUUUGGGGCCGCAUUUUCCGGUGCUGAGGGAGACUAAGAGAAAACGUGGGUUUAGGUUUUUGGAAGACGUUACAAAGAAAGGUUUUGUCUAAUUUGCCUCUAGCUAUCGCAGAAAUGUUAACCAUUGCUGCUCUCCAUGGCUCUCAGUAAGCUCUAGGGUUUGGAUUUUCCUUUCUGUAAAUUAAUUGAUGCAGUAACUGAUCGGAAUCACAUGUACGCUGCUCCUAUAUGCCUUGGGAUGUUGGUUCUCUUAGCAGCUUCGCUUAUGGCUUGCACUAAUCAGAUCUUUUUUUUUUUCAUGUAAACACUAUGUUCUUAUCUUCUUUUCAGAAUUAUGCAUUAAGUCCUAGUUGAUAAUCUCAUAAAAUUUGAUUGGGUUUAGUGUGAAUUUGAUCUAUAAUCUGAAUUAGAAGUGAUUCCAUUCCAAUAGGUUUUGUGUUCGGAAUCUAAAUUUUAAGGGAUUCAGAUAUGUUGUUGUAUGUUCUGAAUAUAUUAAAUUUGGAUAGAUUAUUACUAUGAUUAUUUGCUGGUCUUUUGCGUAUUGGAUUAAGUCACAUGAAUUUUUUUGUCUUUCUUCUUCAAUAUGUUGAUUUUUUUACGAAGAAAUGCAGAGGACAAACCUUGAUUUAGAAUCAGUGAAGGAGAAAAUGAAGGAGAACCCGAAGAAGAUUAAGUAAUAUCGUUGAGCAAUUAAUUUAAUGUACUCAUUUAUGUGGACAAGUCGAGAAGACACAGUUUGCGGACUAAAUUUUUUUGGGAAUGCUCAGAGUGGGAUGUGAAGCAAAUGCAUCAUGUGGUAUGCAAGACAAUGAGCUGAGCGUGGACGACUACGAUUCUCGAAGACCAACAUGAUGUUUUGAAUUUUUGAUAUAUAUUUUUCUUUUGAACAAUUGUAUUUUUUUGCUGUAUUUGUUAAAUUCUUUUAAUUCAAAUUAUAAAAGCUAAUUUUGUUGA